AGAGAGUCUGUUUGCCUGGGAGUGCAUGUUUCAAAUGCUUAGCUGCCUAUAAAGCUGUAACAGUUUAGCCUGUGGCCACUGAGGGAAGAAUCUAAAUUAACCUCUGUAGUGACCAUGUGGAAGUCCUGACCUUGCUUGCAGACUUGACCUCUGGAUAUGACAAGGUAGCUUCAAUACAGAUCUACCAUUUAAUUCUGGAAACUAAAAACCAAAAAAACCUCACAGCAAGAAAGAUACAGAAUGUUUCCUGAGAAGUCAGAAGAACCAGUGUACUCUGGUGGCAAAGGAAAAUAGGGUGAAUGUCUACAGUUACUUUUGGGGAAUGAGGUGAGGUUCUGUGCAAUGAUACUUCCCCCUUACUUCACCUGGCUCAGGAAAAGUGCUGAAUCAGCGAAUAGAGUGAAGGAACAAUCAAGAUGAGAUGGCUACUGCUGAUGUGACUCUCUAGGUGAUUAUGUCUCCUCCUGCUGCAGAAGCUGCACGGCACUAAGCUUACAAGGAUACAGAAGCAAACUACCAAAUAUAAAGAAAUUCACUCUGAAGACUAUGAAGAAAUACUUGGCUAUCUUACCAAUUCCUGAAAUAUACUCUGUAAAACUCCACUGACUGUAUGAAUCUCUUGCAAAAACAACCACCAAACCAGGACAAAGUUCAACAUAACUUGGUUAGUGUUUAGAGGUGCCUAUGUCCACCAGGAACAAGGAACCAUAAAUGGCACUUACACCAUGCUUCAGGUAAAUUUGUUACACAGUUUAGUCUUUGAUGGUCUCUGCAUAUGAUCUACCAAUGCUCUACAUCGGUGAGCUGAAUGUUUUACUAACAAAUUGGAAAAUAAAAUAUUUUAUCUUUUUACAGCUAACAACUUAGUAACACCUACUCAGAGUACAUACUUCUUUAUGUACCCAUAUGAACAUGCAAUGCUAUGGAAUGUAAAGAAGUAUGUAUUUUUGGUAGGCAAUAAACUGCCAAGAGGGAACUAAACCUCAGCUAACAGAAGCAAGGUAAAUUAACCUAGUAUCAAAGAGAUGGCCUCUGGCAAUACUAACACCAUAAAAAUGUACCUACUACUUAUAGAUGGAAACUGAAUGUCAUUAAGAUUUAUAUCUUGUGAAGAAAAAGUUCUAUUGCAAUAGAUUUAAAAUGAUAAAACUUUUAAAUCUUUUAAUCGUAAAAUAUGCUACAUUUUACAUUUUUUAAGUACCCACAUGACUAAAAUUUCAAUACAAGAGAAAAAACAGUAUUACCGGCACAAAAAAAUUAGGAAUACAAAUGACCUAUUUUCUGUCUCCACAACCCGACCUUAGUCACAUUUGUAGGGUCAACUGAUUUGUUAAGAAAUAGAAGAUAUAACAAAAGUUGGCUUCAUUUACAUUUUAACAGGAUUCUUCAUAUUUUAAUAAAUUUAUCAUGUACUAAUUAUUACAGGAAUUUCUGAAGCAAGUUUUGCUGCUUUAGAUUUCUUUUUUGAAAGUUACACAGAAUUCUAAAAGGCUAUCUUUUAAGUAAUAUUCUAUCCUCAAAAAAAAGAAGUCCUUGUCAAGUUUAUCAGGUCCUUAACCCAGUCUCUACUUUAAAUGUCAUGCUAGUACUUAGAAUAAAUUAAAACAUAAGAUUAAUGGAUGAAAAAUGAUAAUCUGAGCCACAGUUCUAAGUCUGAUAACAGACUGAUAUUUAAAAGAAAUUAAUGUAUUAUCUAUAUUCCCUGAAUUUGCUUUUUGCCAAGGAGACACAUAAAAUGAAAACACUAUUGUCAAGAAACCAAUUUACAUGGAUAAAAUAACCAUCUUUUAUUGGUACUAUGCAAUUACAAUUUAAUUUUUAUAAACACUAGAACCACAAUUUAUAGUAUGUUAGAUAUAAAAAUAUCACUAGGUUUUAGACAAAAUUUAUUCUAUACAGUACAUACUUAUAGAUUAAUAAAUUGUAAAUAAUAAAGCUCUUAGCAAUACUUUAUUAGCAGUACUGUUUUAAGCUACUAUGAAAGACUUAGGAAUAAAGAAAUACUAAUACUAAAUUCCUAUUUAGACAUAGUAUUUAUACUAGAAACAUGCAUUUCAAUGGAAUAUUUAAACAUGUAUGAAAAGUAUAAUAAUAAUUUUAAAUUUUUUCUAUGUCACAAGUUGAACAGAAAUGGCUAUAAGGUUAACUGUAAUUUUCUCUGUGUUUAAUAAGACAACUAGAUAGUUGUCAAAAAGAUAGUUUUCACUGCAUCAGAUUAUAAUGAGAAUGACUGUUAGAUACAGUAGCACAUAAGUUAUUGCAGGUUUACUAGAAAUUACGAAAAGCUCAUGAUUUUUACAAAUUCUACAUUUUCAAACAAUUAGUUCAAAGCCUAACUCACUUAAGCAUAGACCUUCUUUCUGAUCAUCCACAAACAGAAUGGUAAUGCUUCAUACUGAAUUUGUUAAAUUUGUUAACUCUACAUGCCCUAAAUACCAACAACUGAAAGUAUGUAUCAUAAAAAGGUUCCUCUAUAAAACUACUCAAAUAGUACUAUACUGUUUUAAUAACAAUCAUAUUUAUUUUUCUAUAGGAAUAAAACUUUUUAAUAAUUAUUUUAAAACAUCCCAGUGACUAAGAAUCGUAUUGCUCUAAUAUUAAGGAUACAUACUCCUUAGAAAAUACAAUGAGUGCAUCUGUUCGUCAUUUUAAAAGGAAAAUUAUAUACUGUUUCUAGAGCUUACAGGUUUAACUUAACAUAUCUAGCACUAUUUUCAAUCACUCUAAAAUGUCACAUUCAUCCCUUAGAUCAGCUGUUCAUUUUUAACUGAGUACAUAUUAAAUUCUGGGCAUCUGCUGACACUGGUGUAACUCAAACAUUUCAACUGUCUCUCUGACAGGGAUAACAGAUGCUGACAUUAUCAAAUGCUGUACUAUUUUUUUUCCAUGGCCUCUUCUUGCCCCGAUAUGGCCAGUAUAUGAAACUGAACUGCCAUCCAAAAGCACACUUGAGCAACUGGACCUGCUACACAGCUCCCAUAUAACUAGUAAAAAUAGAAGCCAGUUUUAUUGCUAUCUUCAGUACUUAAGUCCAGGCAAUUUAACACCUGUUUCAUUUCUAUUAAAAUAAAUGAUGGAAAGAACUGUAGUUACAUUAAUUUCACCAGUAGCAGCAUGAUACUUACCAAGCAACAGAUGCAGAAUAUACUUAAUAUGAGAAUUGUCAGAUUAUUGCCUGAAUUAGUGUUGACCUUCUCCCAGCAUAAUUCAAAACGGUAACUAUUUCUUUACUCUUUAUAUUUCACUGAGAGCAUUUACCUUAUAGGCAAACUGUAAUUCCUCAAACUUUUACUUAUGCAAGUAUAUUACAGAAGACAUCUUUUCCCUGAUGUUGAAAUGCAAUACUGAAAUCACAUUAUAACAAAAAUUUGCUGUACUGAGUUUUAAAGUAUUACUCACAUGGUACACUUUAAUACUCACACUCAUUAACUGUAGCCAAUCACCACAAGUUAAUGUAUUAUUAAACUGAUAAUGAGAAGUAGCCAAUCUGUACCCAAAAUGACAGACUUCUGUCAAGGAAAUAGAGAUUUAAAAGGGUUAAGUUACUAACCUAUGAUUAGUAACACAACAUAAGCAAAAACAAAGAAAAAUGAGCUGGCAUACAUGGUGGUUCCUUUCAACACAAGUCCAAGCAAUACACUGAAUACAUAUAUGAUCUAUUUAUAAACCAGAGGGCAGAGGUAUUUUCCUUAAGGUUACUCAUUCCUCUACCCUCAGUCAGCAACUUGCCAUUAGUCCCUCAAGUAUAAUACUAAAAAAAGCAGCGGUGGUAGAAAGGUCUGACUAGCAGAGCAGUACUAUUCCCUAACUUAUUAGCUUAUUUUCCUUGGUUUACUGCCUAGAGAUAAAUAAAAAAGAUUAUUACUCUGAAAUAAAUCAAGGUCUAUUUUUUCCUUUAAAUGCUGUUGGCUUUGAAACAGGCUACUUGUGUACAUUUAAGAAUUAAGCAGAGAUGUUAAAAACAAAGACGUACGUUGAUAAUCCUUUACUGCAUUAAUGACAUUUUAAAGGGUAAAGAUUCCUGCACUAUUGGAGCAGGUCAUAGUAGGAAAAGCACCUUGAAUAUAGAAAAUUUUACAUUCAGUGACUGAAGAACUGAUAUGAGAGUCUUUAACAUUUGUAGAAGGCCCAUAAUUUUACAAAUACAAAGCAUUUUAACUGUUUUGGAUCCCCAACUAGCCGCACUACAAUGCUUUGCUAAAGCUGGUAAAAUGGAACCAAAUCGCCUCUUCAAUGGAUUUGGUCCCCUUCAACCAGCUGUAGCUAUGCAUUGAUUACAACGGGACAGUUAACGUUUCAGUCGAUUUCAAUCACGUGCCAACUACUUUCAGCUUAAGUUAUUCAGCUUGUGGUUGAAAUAAUUUGUUACUCUUAAUUCUACUUGCAAGAGCCAUAGUGUUUAACAAUGUUCAUAAAAAAAGCUUUAUGAAAAAUGUGUGGAUGACUUAAGGAUUUCAAAUAAAAUCAUUUUACUUAUUUGUGGUCUCUUGGUAUUAAACUUAUCCUCCAGAAAAGAAAUGGUAAUGAAAUGUAGACUAUGCUAAAUUAAAAAAACAAACAAACAAAACUUCCUUCAAAGGAAGAAAACAUCUGAAAGAUCACCUAAACCCACCUGACACCGUUAACAGGAAUGCUACAGUGCAUUUCACAAGGACAAAUCCACGUUUUAAGUUAAAGGAAAUAUAACAUCAAAUAAAAUAAUACACUAGAAAUGUUGGGUCACUAUCUUCCACAGGAUUAGCAUUUAGCUUUACUGCUUUUUACCUGAACAUUGAUUGGUAAGGUGAAAAAACAUGAUGGUACUGCAGAAUACCUUGUGGAGAGACUUAAAUAGUAAGUAUCUAGCUUUUCCAACCCCGAACCAAAAGUUUUUAACCCUCAAAAACGAAAGAAAAUGCUGAACAUCACUACUGUUUAUUGGUGUGGCUAUUCCCCCCCAUCCAAAAGUCGUUUCCUCCAUUGUAAAACAAAGAUCUCUUCUAAUAAUAACAUUCUAUGACUCUCCUGUCUUUUUUGUCCUUCACAAAAAAUAUACACACAUCUCCAGUGAAGAGAAAAAUGAAGGAAGAGGAAAGGCAAGUGAUCCAACAUUCUUCUAAUUUUCUUAUUGAUGGCAAUAAAACUACUGUUAAUGUCAUGUUCUUUCAAAAACAGAGAUAAUCAUUUAAGUAAUAAUGGCUACUAAUGGUAAGUGGUGGUGUAAAAACCUAGAUGUUUACACAAUCCUCAACUCCUAAUCAUGCCCCUAUUUCAAAGUGAAGCUCAUCCCUUAAAGGAACAUGGGCAAAGGCAAGUAUAUGUAAAGAAAUCUUAUCACUUCAUUCAGGUUAGCAGGUCUUCUUGCACAUAUUAUAUCCCAGUCACAUAAAUAUAUUUAAGUAUUAUAAGGCACAUAGUGUUUGGGUAACUGCAUGGACACAUAUGAGAGAAAUGGACAUACAAUAAGUACAUUACCAUUUAACAGACUCAGCCACUUUUUGUAGAGCACUCAACAUGUUCAGAGUUUAUAAGAAAAAUAAGAUAUGGUCCAGAUAAUCAAAUCUUCCUAUCUUCAACAAAGUUUCAAUUGCCAGACCAUAUUUCAAAAUUAAAAAAAUUAAAGGUAUCACAACAGUCUAGAGGGAAUAUUAAGAGUAGCUCACAUAUUCCAGUAAGAGUAUGUAUCUUUAUGGGGAUAGAUAAGUA